UACGGGGGGGGCAAGCGUUGUUCGGAUUUAUUGGGCGUAAAGAGCUCGUAGGCGGCUUGUUGCGUCGACUGUGAAAACCUGCGGCUCAACCGUGUGGUCUGCAGUCGAUACGGGCAGGCUGGAGUUCGGUAGGGGAGACGUGGAAUUCCUGGUGUAGCGGUGAAAUGCGCAGAUAUCAGGAGGAACACCGGUGGCGAAGGCGGAUCUCUGGGCCUUACCUGACGCUGAGGCGCGAAAGCUAGGGGAGCGAACAGG
rnacentral:rRNA from 1 species